GACCAGGUGAAUCGCGCUCAACUUCCCAGUAGGAUUUUUUUUAAGGAUUUGGACGGGAGUUCCGCCUUCUGCGCUGUUGCAACAAUGUGGAAAUGUUUCUGGAAUUUAAAAAAAAAAAAAAGAAACGUUUUGCAACUUUUCUCCCGGGAUGACCAUUACAAAGGCUAGUACAGCCAAUCUGAGGUGGACAGAGCUGCGCCUCAGCCCUGCUUUCUUUUUGGGCGCCGUUGCCGAAGGACGCCUUUCUGCCACCACCAGCCGUCACUUUCCGGAUCGUACUGCUUGACAGACCCAGUAAAGAAGUUGCUGAACUUGUUAAGACGGCUUCCGUGAUGCCUCUCUGCCGGUCAUUGCGCCAAUAUUUCUAGCUGUUGGCAGGCAUACUACAAUCAAAGGGAAAUGCCAAUAGAUUAACUUUCUACAUGAUUUCUUCCCAGAUGACUCACUGGCUGUGUUAAAAGUUUCCUCCCGGACGGAGUUACUAACGUUGAGGCUGGGAAGCUGGGCGGCGAAUGAGUCAGCAGUGCUCUACAGCCGCACACACAGGGAGGACGCUGCAAUUACUCACCCUGGAUCAGAGAAUGGGCAGGCGCCCGCAUCGGCUUUCUAACUCACUUUCUUUUGGUUUUAGUGUCCAAGACUGAGGCUGCUGGAUUUGCUGACAGAAAUGAAAUGGGAGCUGGCUGUCAGUCAAGAAUUCAUAAAAAGUGUGUGUGUAUGUGUAUGUGUGUGCACACAUGUAUGUGUAUAUGAUCUUGGAUAUGCUGUGGUCCAAACAGGGGCCUCCAGGAGUAUACCUUCUGAUUUUAGAUAUUAAAUCGGGCCAUGUGGCUCAGGCCUGCCCAGUCUGCUCCUGACUUUGGAUCUGUGUUUCUCUGUUAUGGUAGCCAGGCCAACAUUGAUGGUCGAGAAAAAUGCUGUGUGCACAGGGGAUACCACGCUAGUGUGUCAAACAAAUUCAAAGCAAAGCCCAGUCUCCUGACAGUGUUGAGAAACCUUCAGAGUACACAUCUUACGAGCCUUACAGCUUCAGGCAGUUUGUACACCUGAGCUUCUGUCACAGUCUAGCAACAUGCUUCAGGUAAUACGUGAAUAUGGUUUUUUAAAAGUUGGGUAAAUAAAGUUUCAAAAAAUGA